rnacentral:lncRNA from 1 species
UACUUCUUGAAUUUGGACUGAAUUGAACUGAACAAUACGAAAAGACAAAAGUGAAGUGAUGUGAGAUCUGAGCAAGACUUCAAGAAAUUGCCAUUUUUACUUUUUCCCUCUAGGAUGCUACUAUCUUCAUGUGAGGAGUCAUUCCAGUUGUUUCCAGCCAUCUCUGUGAUGUUUUAGACACAAGAAAGAGGCCACCCAGGACCCUUCAGCCCUCAGCUGUCAUGUCUCUUAAGUGCAACUGUAUAGGUGACCUAUGAGAAUUCUGCCUAAGAACCAUUCAGCUAAGAUCAGCCUAAAAUUUAAAAUAAAAAUGUGUGGCAUUUCUGUUGUAGCUAAGUGGGUUAAGAACCCAACUAGUAUCCACGAGGAUGCAGGUUCCAUUCCUGGCCUUGCUCAGUGGAUUGAGGAUCCAGUGCUGCCGUAAGCUGUGGUAUAAGUCUCAGAUACUGCUCAGAUCCUGAGUUGCUGUGGCUGUGGCACAGGGCUGGCAGCUGCAGCUCCAAUUCAACCCCUAGCCUGGGAACUUCCAUCCUGUAGCAGGUGUGCAGCCCUAAAAUAAAAAAAUAUAUAAACAUAAAAAAAUAAAAAUUGAAAAUAAAAAGUUGUUUGUAACCACUAAGUUUUGGGCUGGUUGUUUAUGUGGCAAUUGAAAACUCAUCAUUCCUCUAUCUCUUUGGCAAGAAAACAGUCAUUAUUUUGUUGCUUUUUUAUUUAAAAGUGGGUUUUUAGUAAUUCUUUAAAAAAAUCUGAAAAAGACCAAUGAGAAAUUUCUGUGUAUACCAGAAAAGGAAUGUUGGAGUUGAAGGUGAUUUUUUUAUUAAUGUGGAAUUUUUAAAAUGUCUGUUAAUACUAUUUGCAAAGCAAAUAAGAAAUAAUAAAUUUAAAAUGAGAAAAGUUAAUUCUUUUUCAAUUAAAAAGUAAAAUUAUGUAAAUGCGUAGGUAAUCCCUCUAAAUCUUGUGAUAGGUGAAAGUACAGGUAUUUUAAUUUGGAUAUCACAUUUUGUUAUGUUUGUAUGAAUUGGUAAUAGGCUUGGCAAACACUUCUAGAAACUGAAUCAGCAUUGAGAUGUGAAAACCUAAGUUAUUUAGUCCAAAUAAAAACAAUAAACAUCAAAGAUAAGAAGGCUACCACAGUCUUUAGGAAAAAAAAAUGUAUAUUGAUUCAAACUGUUGAUGCCUGACUACUGAUAGCCCACGUACCAAAUUGUGUGGUUUGAUUUUCUUAAUCUCACAAAAUGGCAAAUUGAUGACACAGUCAAUCAUUAUAGCACCAAGUAACAGCAGAUGACCUUGUCCAUAUGCAUUUUUAAAUUAAAACAAAAGAAUGAAAGAAAGGAAGCAACAGAUGUCCUCAUUUUACUUCUAAAUGUAGUGUUAAAAGGGGAGCCCAUUCAGUUGGUGUUUAUCUCCCUUUCUGUAGUCUGAUUUCAUGUUGCUUGAGAUUCAAUCUGCCAUUGUUCUGUUCUCAAGGAAGGCCAAGAACUUCUGCUUGAUAAAAAGAACUUCAAAGGCACUUCUGUUUUGGAGACAAAUGAAGUUCACUUGGCUUAAAAGCAUGUUGCAAUCUGAGUGGAUGGGAUGAUGGUUACUGAGGUGGCAGGAGUCCAAGGGCAGGAAGACCCCCUCUGAAGAUCUGUAGCUUGGUGUUCAAGGACACCUUCAAUAGAGGGACAGGGUUGAUAGCUUUCUUUUCUAAUUGAACAAGACAGAUAAUUGAUCAUGAGAGUGGUUAGAGAUGCUGCUACCAUGAAAAUGCAUAUCUAUAUCUGGAAGGGAAAUUUACGCUCAAUAGCAGUGCUUAAGGAGACAAUGUAUUAUAGCUACACUGACCUUUACUUACAUCGAAAUAACCAAGGUGGUAUUUUCCUGUUUUCAACUUCCUGAUAGCAAAUAUACUGCUGAGCCUCCUUGAAGUUAUAGCCAUUCUAGUUCACAAUCAAUACAAUAAUAUCUGCCAAGCAAACAUCCUAGUUGCAGACCAUGACAUGUGCAUGUAUGUAGAGCUUUUUCUUAAAUACGUUGUUUCUAUUCUUUCCCACAUAACUAUGAUAUGAGAAGACACUAUACACAACAUAAUUUUGCCAUUUAUUCAUCAACUCUGCUUGCCUGGCUUCCAAGAUGCUGCAUAUUCCAUCUCAGGAAAUACUACUUAUCAUUGCUCUACUUCACAUAAUUUUAUUUAAAUCAUUUGCUUAAUUUUCCUAGACAUAUUUCAUUUAUCACUUUUAAUUAAUACAACUUGAGUAUAUUGUUAUAUUUCUCGCUGAGGAAGGAUUCAUAUGAGAUGAGCAAACAGUGACCAGUACUUAAAUUCUUUCCUGUCUAGUCAUAUCUUGGUUGCUUCUGUCAACUAUCUAUUUCCUCAAAAGACCACCAAAAUAACUUAUAAAUAAAACAAGAUAAAGGUGCUAAUUUGUAGAUAAGAUUAUUACUUGCCAAACUAAAGAACAUCAUUUCAUUGGUAGUCUUAAUAGUGUCUGGAAGUGGGAGGGAACAAAAAUGAAAUACUUGUGAGGUUUUUGAGGGGUUUGAUUUAAAAUAGGUCUGGAGUUCCCGUCGUGGUGCAGUGGUUAACGAAUCCGACUAGGAACCAUGAGGUUGCGGGUUCGGUCCCUGCCCUUGCUCAGUGGGUUAACGAUCCGGCGUUGCCAAGAGCUGUGGUGUGCGUCGCAGAUGCGGCUCAGAUCCUGCGUUGCUGUGGCUCUGGUGUAGGCUGGCAGCUCCAGCUCCGAUUAGACCCCUAGCCUGGGAAACACCAUAUGCCGUGGGAGCGGCCCAAGAAAUGGCAAAAAGACCAAAAAUAAAAUAAAAUAGGUCUUUUACUGUGAAGAUAUAUUUGGGGUUUGGGCAAAAUUCAUGAUAUAGUAACAUAGGAUUGUGGAUAGAGUUAAAUCAAGUUUCUGAAUUAAGUCUUGAGCAAUAAACAGUCAUUUGAUGAGCCUGGUUGAACGAAUUAUUGUCCCAAGUCCUUUCAUGAGGGCUGGCUGAGUCUUCCAAUGCUCAGAUAAAUGGAUUUUCAAAAAGGUAUUGAAACCACAAAUAAAUGUAUUUGCAUUUUCAUCUUCCAGGACAAGAGAAUUGUGAAAUAGUCAAGUCAUGUUAUUGCAGAUAGUUAGUUGAAAGAAUGCAGAUGAUUUCUCAUCUCAUUUCCAGAGAUCAGAAGGAAUCCGUUUCCAGAUGUUAGAGAGAAGUUGAAAAUAGGUAAAACCCUGUCUUGAGAGUUAUUAUAUAAAAGUUUAUUCCCACUGAAAGUUUUGGGCAAGCCCAGGAAAGGGCUUAAAUUUAACCUGGUACAAAAAAAUAAAACAAAACAAAACAAACACAAUAUCAAGAGUGAAGGGAAAGAAACCACUAAGCUAUGAAAACUCUUCAAAGGCCUGUAUCAUUUGUUCUCAGAGUACUCAAGGCUAUAUAGCAUUAUUCGUUACUGACUCUACAGACAAGGAAAAUAUAAUAAAAUGUUUUCUGAGGAGGCAGCUUGUUCCAAGGUAAGACUGAGUUUAAUAACCAACAUUGUUCUUGGCCCAAAUGUCAAAAGCUUUGUGUUCCUCUUCAUUGUAAUCAAACUGGUACUAAGACACAUAAAGAGGGAUAAACACACAUUUUUGCUUGAGUAAAAUUUAACUUUAAAAAAAAAGGAAAACUCUUGAAAAUGAUAGUUCAUUGCAGGGAAGCCUCACUAUAAAUAUGACUAAUGAUAACAGAGAAUUCAUUUGAGUAUAGCUUCUCUUUCCUAAAGGAUUUAAUUAUUGAGACCAUUAAAAAUAUUUUAUAGUAAUAGAGUCUUAAUUGCAACUGAGUCAUAUGAAAUAACCCUAAGUAUAACAUCAAAAUAAGUUUGACAUGGUACCAUUUAUACUAAUAAAACCUCUCAAGGGACAUUUUUAAGAAACACUGAGUCCAUGUUUUGCUAAACUACUAUGUUUUUGUUUUGUUAAAUGAGUGUUUUAACUGAGGAGAAAUGUUGUAAUGAAAAAUAGUGAGGAUUUUAAACUGCCGAGUAAGAAGAAAAGAAUUGGAACUCUGAUCAGCUGAGAAUAGGAGUUUUGAGGGGAUGAGGAUGGCAGAGGUAAAGAGAAAGGUGAAAUAAGUUGUUGCAGGCAGCCUAUGAAGUAAGCCCCAGUGACCUCAGCCUCUAAGGAUGCAUUCCCUUUUGCAGUCUCCUCCCCUGGAGCAUGGGCUGUUUAGAGACUCACUUCUGACAGGCUGUAGUAGAACAAUGGGAUGUUCUUUCAGGAUGAGAUUAUGAAAAGGUAGUAGCUUUCAUUUUGAGUGCUCUCUCUCUCUCUCUCUCUAAUCCUUUGCUUUGAGGGAAGCCAGCUGCCAUGUUGUGACUAGCCCUGAAGAGAGACCCAUAUGGAGCAGAACCAAUACCUCUGGACAUGGUGAGAACAAUCUCAUGAGUGACUUGGAAGUGCGUCCUUUCCCAGGUGAACAUUGAGCUGGCUAUAAUCCUGUUCAACACCUUGAUGGCAGCCUUGUGAGAGACUGAGACAGAGACGCUCAACUGAGACAUGUUCAGAUUCUUGGCCCACAAAAACUUUGAGAAAACAAAGUUAAUCUUUUAAGCUAUUAGGGUUUUGGAAGAAUUUGUUACCUUGCAGUAGAUAACUAAUUCAUCGGUAUUUAAGUUUUUGCUAUGUGUAUUUUAUGUGAAUCCUCUUUCCUACUUUUCACAACUCCCAAAUUUUAAGUAAGAGACUGAGCUCUCAACUGAUUUGGGGGGUGCAAGGAAAAAAAAUGAGUAAUACUUCCAGAUGACUGUGACUUUCAAGAGAGGCUAAUUGCAUCUAGGGUGUAUUUUUCUAAUUGGUUGUUAUAAAUCCCAAAGAGAUCUUUUAGGGACACAAAGAAGGACAAGGUAAGUACCAAUGUCAUUUUUGAAUGAGUUGGCAGUAAGAUGUGGUCUUAUCUUGCAUAAAUCUACAUCUGACCUUUUACUUUCUAAAGUUUAAUCAAUGCUUUAUAGAGGAGCAAUUACACCUACUAAAUAAAAUAAGUCACUGGAACAGCAGUGAUUUUUUCUUCUUUCUUUAAACUUGUAAGCAAUGGUUCUAGAAUGUCACAAACAAAGGAGAAAGUUGAUCAGCCUCUUGCAUUUUCAAAAUACAGUAAGUGAAUUGUUAUAUUAGAAAAAGAAAUGUAAAGCAUACAUGUGAAGAGAAAUAGAACAUUGUGCUUUCAUUCUGAAAAUAAUUUAUGAACUUAAAAAUAAAAUCUAUGGGUUUUGUUUGAAAAAACAAACAAACAAAACCAUAGUAUAAAGUUAUGUGGGAAGAAGAGAUAAAAAGCCAUCCAUCCACUCCAUACAUGUAACUAGUCAAAAGGGAUUGUGAUAUUUUUCUAGACACAUCCUAUGCCAAGACAAGUGAGAGGCAAAAAGAAAGCACUCAAUAAAUAUUUGUGAAAUGAGCACAAAAUAUAUUUGCUAUAUUUUAAUUGACAGUUUUUAUUAGAAUGUGAAUAUUAUCUGAAGCCAAAAAUCCAUGACACAGUAAUUUACCUUCUUAAGAGAGAUUCUGGAUGACCUGCAGGAGAAGAGCUAGAAGAAUGCUCCAUGAUUUAUGUCUAGAAGGUUUGAGAUGCUCAGGAGCAAGAGAGCCAUCUGCCUUUUUAGGAAGAACUGUACCAUAGUCACUAUCAUCCCCAGGGGAGAGAAGGGAGUGGCUUUCCCCCAAAUGCAACUUUUCCUUCUCUAUCCUCAACCCUCAAUCUCACUUCAAAACCCAGUGAGGCUUCAAGAAAACCACUAAUAUAAAAUGGAAUUUUUUGCCAAAGAAUAAACAUAUUUGCAGAGCCUAUGACUGGAUGGAUGUCUCCUCAGCUCCAGACCAUGAGCCCAGACUUGGAGAAGCUUACCGAGUUCUUGUCAGUUUUGAACUGUUUUUCCUGCAGUUUAGGAGUUCCUAAAAGGGGGCUCCCAAGACUCUCAUGUCACAUGACUCUAAAGGAAGAGUCUGCUUGGAAUUGCUUUAAUAGCAAGAAGAAACCAAGAUGGUGGCUGCUGUAGAAGCCUAGGUGUUCAAACAGUGGCCAGUAGCAUGGGACACAGCCCUGUUGGAGCCAUCUUAAAGCACUCCCCCAUUGAGAAAUCCAUGUGACAUAUUUACAUGUGAUGGUUAAAGCUCCAAGUUCAGGAGUUCCCGUCAUGGUGCAGCAGAAGUGAAUGCGACUAGGAACGAUGAGGUUGUGGGUUUGAUUCCUUGCUUCGCUCAGUGGGUUGAGGAUCCGGUGUUGCUGCGAGCUAUGGGGUAGGCCAUAGCUAUGGCUUGGAUCUGGCCUUGUUGUGGCGCUGGCAUAGGCCUGUGGCUAUAGCACCAAUUGGAUCCCUAGCCCGGGAACUUCCAUGUGCCAUGGGUGUGGC